AUGUGUAGAUAUCCAGCGCGGACAGUGAGUAUGGAGGAGACAAUGGGAAGCUCAGAGUCUCUGUUGUACGAUUUGAGCACUCUAAGGGCUGCCAUUGACAACUUCUCUGAAGAAAAUAAGCUCGGGGAAGGCGGGUUCGGGCCGGUCUACAAAGGCAUUCUGCGGGAUGGGCAGGAGAUCGCGGUGAAGAGGCUGUCGAAGAACUCCAAGCAAGGGCUCGUGGAGAUGAGGAACGAGGUUGUGCUGGUGGCCAAGCUUCAGCACAAGAAUCUGGUGCGCUUGCUCGGCUGCUGCAUCCAAGAGGAGGAGAUGCUCCUCGUCUACGAGUUCCUCUUCAACAGAAGCCUCGACAAGAUUCUAUUCGAUCCUGCGAGGCAGCAAGAGCUUACCUGGGGGCACAGGUUCAGGAUCAUCCAGGGGAUCGGGCGAGGCCUUCUUUACCUCCACGAAGAUUCGAGGCAGGACUGGGACGUGCAUAGCUCAGUUCAGUUCGAGGGGUUCGGACUGAGGAGUGGCACUGUCAUCUUAUACGUGGGUAGAGUUGGGCUCAUUCGGCUCAACCUUGCCACAAAAGAGGCAGUUGUCGUCUACCACCGCAGCGAUACGGCCUACAUCUCGCAGGUUUGCCUGCACGAGAUGGAUUUGUCCUCUCUGCUCCAGACCAUGAAACCUCUGAGCUAA
rnacentral:rRNA from 1 species